UAAAAGACUAUGACAGGAAAUAAGUAAAUGUAUGGUAACUUUAAAAAGAGAGUGAAGUUUGGUGAAAAUUCACAGUAGCUGUAUGUUGAAACUCAUCCCUGAGUUAUAAGUUGAAAUUAAGUAGGCUUUAUCGGCGAAAGUCGUUAUUAUUAAAUCAAGAGAUAAUUUUGGAUGGUAAUGCGGCAGUUUUCUCGCUCCAAGAGAAAACUGCCGCUUUGUUUAUGCUUGCUUUUACUACUAUAAAGGAAGUUAUUCAUCUAUCAUUAAAUAAUCAACAAUUUGGGUGGUACCGCGGCAGACUUUUCGCCCCAACG
rnacentral:ncRNA from 1 species